rnacentral:misc_RNA from 1 species
GAUGAAGAACGUAGCGAAAUGCGAUAAGUAAUGUGAAUUGCAGAAUUCAGUGAAUCAUCGAAUCUUUGAACGCAUCUUGCGCUCCUUGGUAUUCUGAGGAGCAUGCCUGUUUGAGUGUCAUUAAAUUCUCAACUACACUGACUUUGAAUUGGUGUGGCUUGGAUUUGGGGGGAAAAUUGUUGUGGGCUUUUUGUAUAGUCUGCUCCCCUGAAAUUGAUUAGCGGUACCUUUGUGGAACUGUCUACAGGUGUGAUAAUUAUCUACAUCUUAGACAUCUGCUGGAAUGCUGCUUUCUAAACCUUACUUGUAUUGACACUCUUGACCUCAAAUCAGGUAGGACUACCCGCUGAACUUAAGCAUAUCAAUAAGCGGAGGA